rnacentral:misc_RNA from 1 species
CCUUCCUCAGCAAGUACAAAAAGUUGUUCAGUUCACUUCUUCUAAUUUGAGGUCGAAUCUCACUGCUUAUCUUCAACAGAAUGUUCAACCUAGAUUGCCCGGGCAUGAUGAAAAGGCUGAAGAGGAUAGAGCGACUACUGAUGUUGUCAGUCGUGAUCCUCCCAUUGUGUCUCCAGGAACGGAAAGCAGCUCUAUUGUGAAUAAAAUUUCAUCUUCACCUGGCCCAACCACAACUUCUUUGCCUGAAUCUUCAUUCUCCUCACUUUCUCAUUCCCCCACCAAUUCAGCUGUAAGUACGGAGCAUGUGGUUGGAACGAAUAUUUCAUGCCACAAUAAGGUUAUUCUUCAUCCACGCGGGACAAACAUGACAUAUCCUCC